rnacentral:rRNA from 1 species
UUCCGGUUGAUCCUGCCGGAGGCGACCGCUUUUGGAGUUCGAUUAAGCCAUGCGAGUAGAAUGAAUUAGAUCAUUGCGAACUGCUCAGUAACACGUGGAUAACCUGCCCUAUGCUCUGGGAUAACCUUGGGAAACUGAGUAUAAUACCGGAUAGAUCACAACGCCUGGAACGGUGUGUGGUUGAAAGGUCACGGCAUAGGAUGGGUCUGCGGCGUAUCAGGUCGUAGGGGGUGUAAAGGACCUCCUAGCCAUCGACGCGUACGGGUGUUGGGAGACAUAGCCCGGAGAUGGAUUCUGAGACACGAAUCCAGACCCUACGGGGUGCAGCAGGCGCGAAAACUUCACACUGCAGGAAACUGUGAUGAGGGAACUCCAAGUGCACGCACUUAGUGUGUGCUUUUUUCAACUAUUAAUCGGUUGAAGAAUAAGGGCUGGGAAAGACCGGUGCCAGCCGCCGCGGUAAUACCGGCAGCUCAAGUGGUCGUCGCUUUUAUUGGGCCUAAAACGUCCGUAGCCUGUUUGGUAAAUCUGUGGGUAAAUCAACCAGCUUAACUGGUUGAAUUCUGCAGAGACUGCCAGACUAGGGACCGGGAGAGGUGUGGGGUACUCUAGGGGUAGGGGUAAAAUCCUGUCAUCCUUAGAGGACCACCAGUUGCGAAGGCGCCACACUGGAACGGAUCCGACGGUCAGGGACGAAGCCUAGGGGCACGAACCGGAUUAGAUACCCGGGUAGUCCUAGGUGUAAACGCUGUGAACUUGGUGUCGGGGAUCCGUCAUGGGUCCCCGGUGCCGGAGUGAAGAUGUUAAGUUCACUGCCUGGGGAGUGCGGUCGCAAGGCUGAAACUUAAAGGAAUUGGCGGGGGAGCACUGCAACGGGAGGAGCGUGCGGUUUAAUUGGAUUCAACGCCGGA